CGAUAAUCUUGUCGCAUAUCUCGCUCGGGAAGGUUAUCCCCUUCCGUAGUAUGCGAUGGCCCCGUUUCCCUUUUACCGAGAUGAUGUCGAGGUUUUCGCAGAUGAGCUUGUAGCACAGAUCGGUGUAGCUGCACUUACACUGUCUUUAAGCUCGUAUCGGACAUAGAGGCUGCGCCGCGGUCAAGUUGUCGAUUGGACGCAAAGGAUGCCGCAACGCGUGACGCUCGGUGGGAACGCACCAUUAGUCGUUGGUUAUAAAAAAUUUAACCAAUCAUGUUCGCUUAUUCUUUUCUAAAGCCUCAUAUACAGAAGUCGCAAGCAGUCAGUUGCGACUUGCGACAGCCAAUGAUUGUCGAGCUUUAACUAGAAACUAGGCGCCCAUUAGCUGUCGCAAGUCGCAAUUGGCUGCUUGCGACUUCUGUAGACGAGGCUUAAUGGCGUUUUCGACCGGACAAAACCGGGGGUUAACCCAUCUUAGGUUCUUAUUCUUCUAGAACUGGCCAAUCACAGUUAUUAAAUUCUUCAGAAGAAUGGCUGUGAUUAGCUGUGAUUGAAAAAUUUUUUUAUUAGAAAAACUUUUAUUAAAAAAUUUUUUUUUAAUAAAUAGCGUAAUUAAAUAGAAA